GCGCCAAUAGCUCAACUGGCAGAGCAGCUGACUCUUAAUCAGCGGGUUCGGGGUUCGAGUCCCUGUUGGCGCAC
rnacentral:tRNA from 1 species